UUCGGAUUGUAGGCUGCAACUCGCCUACAUGAAGUCGGAAUCGCUAGUAAUCGCGGAUCAGCAUGUCGCGGUGAAUACGUUCCCGGGUCUUGUACACACCGCCCGUCACACCAUGGAAGCUGGUUAUACCCGAAGUCAUUACUCUAACCAUUUGGGGGAGGGUGCCUAAGGUAGAAUUAGUGACUGGGGUGAAGUCGAAACAAGGUAGCCGUAGGGGAACCUGCGGCUGGAUCAC
rnacentral:rRNA from 13 species